rnacentral:rRNA from 1 species
GACCCCUGGAAGAACACCAGGUUGAUAGGCUCGGGGUGGAAGCGCAGCAAUGUGUGGAGCUGACGAGUACUAAUCGGUCGAGGGCUUAUCCUA